rnacentral:rRNA from 1 species
UAAGACGAACCGUGCGAACGUUGUUCGGAAUCACUGGGCUUAAAGGGCGCGUAGGCGGACGACCAAGUCGGGGGUGAAAUCUUUCGGCUCAACCGGAAAAUAGCCUUCGAUACUGGCCGUCUAGAGGGAGGUAGGGGCGUGUGGAACUUCCGGUGGAGCGGUGAAAUGCGUUGAUAUCGGAAGGAACUCCGGUGGCGAAAGCGACACGCUGGAUCUCAUCUGACGCUGAUGCGCGAAAGCCAGGGGAGCGAACGGGAUUAGAUACCCCGGUAGUCCUGGCCCUAAACGUUGGGUACUGGGUAGUGGACUUGACAUGGGUUCACUGCCGAAGCGAAAGUGGUAAGUACCCCGCCUGGGGAGUAUGGUCGCAAGGCUG